rnacentral:rRNA from 1 species
GACGAACGCUGGCGGCGUGCUUAACACAUGCAAGUCGAGCGGUAAGGCCCUUUCGGGGGUACGACGAGCGGCGAACGGGUGAGUAACACGUGGGUGACCUGCCCUCCAGCUCUGGGAUAAGCCUGGGAAACCGGGGUCUAAUACCGGAUAUGACUCCAUGACGCAUGUUGUGGGGUGGAAAGCCUUGUGCGGCUGAGGAUGGGCCCGCGGCCUAUCAGCUUGUUGGUGGGGUGAUGGCCUACCAAGGCGACGACGGGUAGCCGGCCUGAGAGGGCGACCGGCCACACUGGGACUGAGACACGGCCCAGACUCCUACGGGAGGCAGCAGUGGGGAAGUCUUGCGCAAUGGGCGAAAGCCUGACGCAGCGACGCCGCGUGAGGGAUGACGGCCUC